rnacentral:rRNA from 1 species
GAUGAACGCUGGCGGCGUGCCUAAUACAUGCAAGUCGAGCGAACAGAUGAGGAGCUUGCUCCUCUGACGUUAGCGGCGGACGGGUGAGUAACACGUGGAUAACCUACCUAUAAGACUGGGAUAACUACGGGAAACCGGAGCUAAUACCGGAUAAUAUAUUGAACCGCAUGGUUCAAUAGUGAAAGACGGUUUUGCUGCCACUUAUAGAUGGAUCCGCGCCGCAUUAGCUAGUUGGUAAGGUAACGGCUUACCAAGGCAACGAUGCGUAGCCGACCUGAGAGGGUGAUCGGCCACACUGGAACUGAGACACGGUCCAGACUCCUACGGGAGGCAGCAGUAGGGAAUCUUCCGCAAUGGGCGAAAGCCUGACGGAGCAACGCCGCGUGAGUGAUGAAGGUCUUCGGAUCGUAAAACUCUGUUAUUAGGGAAGAACAAAUGUGUAAGUAACUAUGCACGUCUUGACGGUACCUAAUCAGAAAGCCACGGCUAACUACGUG